GAUGAACGCUGGCGGCUUUCUUAACACUUGCAAGUCGAACGGUGAACACGGAGCUUGCUCUGUGGGAUCAGUGGCGUACGGGUGAGUAACACGUUAGCAACCUGCCCCUUACUCUGGGAUAAGCGCUGGAAACGGCGUCUAAUACUGGAUAUUUUACGUGACCGCAUGGUUUGCGUUUGGAAAGAUUUUUCGGUUGUGGAUGGGCUCGCGGCCUAUCAGCUUGUUGGUGAGGUAAUGGCUCACCAAGGCGUCGACGGGUAGCCGGCCUGAGAGAGUGACCGGCCAAACUGGGACUGAGAAAAGGCCAAGACUACUACGGGAGGCAGCAGUGGGGAGUAUUGAAAAAUGGGCGCAAGAGUGAUGCAGGCACGCAGCGUGAGGGAUAACGGACUUAAGGUUGUAAACCUCUUUUAGAAGGGAAGAAGCGAAAGUGACGGUACCAGCAGAAAGAGCGCCGGCUAACUAAGUG
rnacentral:rRNA from 1 species